AGAACGAACGCUGGCGGCGUGGAUAAGACAUGCAAGUCGAACGGGAUUUCAUGAGUAGGCAAUACAAGUGAGGUCUAGUGGCGAACGGGUGCGUAACACGUGGAUACAUUCCGGGAAGCGGGGGAUAGCCCAGGGAAACUUGGAUUAAUACCGCAUGUGGUCGAAAGACUAAAGGGCAGGGACCGCAAGGCCUGCCACUUCCCGAUUGGUCCGCGGCCUAUCAGCUAGUUGGCGGGGUAAAAGCCCACCAAGGCUACGACGGGUAGCUGGUCUUAGAGGACGACCAGCCACACUGGAACUGAGACACGGUCCAGACACCUACGGGUGGCAGCAGUCGAGAAUCUUUCACAAUGGGGG
rnacentral:rRNA from 1 species